GGUCUUUUCCAAAACCUAGUGCUACCUUUUUUCCUAAAAAAAAAAACUACUGCUAUCUUCUCCGGCGGCGACGGCCGUACGAAUUAUUGUUCCGCACGGAUCCGCUGCAGAAACCCUUGGAGGAAGACGAGACGAGGAGGAUUACCGGGGCGACGUCUCCGGAGAGUUUCAACCGGCGCGCUGCGCCAAAGAAGGAGGCGACGCACAGCGCACCUUGUGCGUGCUCGCCGCACGGCUUCUCCAGCCACCGACGCCACCUCUGCCGCCGAGGCGAUCUGAUCCAUCCACAAUCCAUCUUUGGCUCUGCCCCUGUUGUGAUUUGUUUCUUGGUUCGGCUUGAUUUGAGGUUAAGCUGCGGAGCAGAACUAGCAAGGCGAAUUGGAUUGACUGGAGGACCAAGAACAAGUGGUGAAGGAGUCGGAUAAGGAAAAUCGGCACACCAGUUAGGCCAAGCGUUGCGGCAGAUUCUGUUUUCGUAGGCUGCUCUGCUCCUCCUCCGGCCGUAGGCACAGCCUGGUCUUCCUGAGGAGUCCCCGCCGAAGACGUCUUGUCCAGCCGCCGCUCCGCCCAAACCACAAAAGGAGAAAAGUAAGCAGUACCUUGCCCUUGAUUACUGGUUUCUCGAUUCAGUUUCGUCUUUGUUGUCCUUCCGGAAACAAAUUUGGUGGAUGAGAUGGAUUAGGAUACAGACCUUAGCGCUGCAGCAACUUGGCAUGAAACUUGCGUCAGUCUGCCCGUUCUGGUAGUGUUAUUUUGCUUUUUGAAAUAAAAGAAGAGCGAAACGAUACAUCGACCAUGGAUCGAUCUCAAGGGAUUUACCCACCUGGGGGAAGUAAUUCGGUGGAGAAACAGGAUCCAGCUCCAGCACCUGACCGUGAUUGGUCUGCGCUCCCGGCGGACCUGCUGAUCCGCAUACGAAUUGUGCCUUCUCCUGGCAGGAACCAGAGCCCUUGCCUGCUGUACUCCUCCAAUGAUCGUGAGCUUGCCACAGCCACCCUGCACAGGCUCUCCACGAAUAAGCUCUACCACAUUGUGCUCCCUUGACCCAACACUCCGCAGCUGCUUUAUAGCCGGUUCCUCUCAUGGUUGGCUUGUUAUAGCCGACGAGCGGUCCAACCUCCUCCUUGUCAACCCGAUCACUCGUGCUCAGAUCGUGCUCCCACCGGCCGUAACUAUCAAGAAUGUGCAAGGUUGUUAUACUGCAGAGGGAGUCCUUGAUAGCUACACUCUUCUUGAUCUUGAUCUUGAUCUUGAAACCCAGGGCUGCAACCUGCAAGCUUGCACAUGUGACCUCUCGCUAGAGGAAGGUCGCUUCUUCUUCUACUGGAGGGUUGCCAUGUCCGCUGAUCCAUCCAGUGGGAAUUGCAUCGUCAUGAUCUUACACAUGCCUGAGAAACACAUCUCAUUCACCCGGGUUGGGGACACACAAUGGACAUGGAUAAAUGUGCAUCCAGACUGCUUCGACUAUUGUGAUGUUUUCUAUAAUGACUCCGACGGCCUGUUCUACGCCAUGCGACGCAGUGGUGAGGUUCACACCAUUGAUGUCAAUGGACCUUAUCCGGUGGUGAAGGUCAUAUUAAAUCCCAUGACGCGCUCCAGGGAUAGCAGCAGGUACAUUGUGCAAGCACCAUGGGGUGCCAUCCUUCAGGUUUGGAGGAAUGACCAACCCAUAAGGAGAGGGGAGUAUCGAUCGGACUGUCAAGCUUGAGGUGUACACGGUGGAUCUAUUUGGGCAAAAGCUUCUCGAAAUAAAGAACUUGCAGGACCAUGUGUUGUUCAUUGGUUUCAACACCCCGUUCUUCCUUCCUGCAAAGGAGUUCCCCAUGUUAACCCCAAAUUGCAUCUACCUGACAGAUGACAACAUGGCCUGCAUCUAUUCCCAUAGAUUUGCUCCACGCCAGGUGGUUGUUUUCAACAUGGAGGAUAGAAGCUUCACUGAUCUGUUGCCUGUUUCCAACUCACGGCUGAAUUGGCCAGUUCCAAUUUGGAUUAGACCAUCGUGUAAUCAGUACAAUAAAGGUCGAGAUAUGAAAUAAGCUGGCAAACCAGCAGUUAGUUUGUUGAGGGUAUCUGGUUGUUUCAAAGGUUGCCUUCAAAAGUAAUCUAACCAAUAUGACCCCCACCAUCGGCGCCCCCAAACUCAAUUGUUCUUGAUUGGAUGAGUAACAUUGCAUCUUGCACAUGUGAACUUUUAUGGUUCUAUUUAUUAUUUAUUUAUUUAUUUAUUUAUAGGACGGUUAAAUAAUUGGUCUUGUGCUCCUCAUGGGUUGUCUAACAUGGUUGCCAGCUUUGUAAUGAUUCCAAAUUACACGGCAACAGUUAAAGUUACUCCCUCCGUUCCUUAAA